UACGGUGGGGGCAAGCGUUGUUCGGAAUUACUGGGCGUAAAGGGCUCGUAGGCGGCCAACUAAGUCGGAUGUGAAAUCCCCAGGCUUAACCUGGGAACUGCAUCCGAUACUGGAUGGCUUGAAUUCGGGAGAGGGAUGCAGAAUUCCAGGUGUAGCGGUGAAAUGCGUAGAUAUCUGGAGGAAUACCGGUGGCGAAGGCGGCAUCCUGGACCGACAUUGACGCUGAUGAGCGAAAGCUAGGGGAGCAAACGGG
rnacentral:rRNA from 1 species